UUCAGGGUGUAGCGCAGUCUGGUAGCGUGUUUGUUUUGGGAACAAGAGGUCACAGGUUCGAAUCCUGUUACCCUGAA
rnacentral:tRNA from 1 species